AAAACUCACUUUCGUGGUGUCUUUGGUGAGUCUGAUAACUUAACGAUUCGAAGGGUCUUGCGCCGGCGAUGGCUCUCUCAAUUUUCUGCCCUAUCAACUUUCGAUGGGGAGAGACUGGCCUACCACGGUGGCAACGGGUAACGGGGAAUUAGGGUUCCAUUCCGGAGAGGGACCCAGAAAGACGGGUACCACAUCCAAGGAAGGCGAAAGGCGCGCAAAUUACCCAAUCCCGACACGGGGAGGUAGUGACAAUAAAUACUGAUACGGGGCUCUUUUGGGUCUCGUAAUUGGAAUGAGUACAAUCUAAAUCCCUUAACGAGGAACAAUUGGAGGGCAAGUCUGGUGCCAGCAGCCGCGGUAAUUCCAGCUCCAAUAGCGUAUAUUAAAGUUGUUGCAGUUAAAAAGCUCGUAGUUGAACCUUGGGUCUGGCUGGCCGGUCCGCCUCACCGCGAGUACUGGUCCGGCUGGACCUUUCCUUCUGGGGAACCUCAUGGCCUUCACUGGCUGUGGGGGGAACCAGGACUUUUACUGUGAAAAAAUUAGAGUGUUCAAAGCAGGCCUUUGCUCGAAUACAUUAGCAUGGAAUAAUAGAAUAGGACGUGCGGUUCUAUUUUGUUGGUUUCUAGGACCGCCGUAAUGAUUAAUAGGGGAUAGUCGGGGGGCGUCAGUAUUCAGCUGUCAGAGGUGAAAUUCUUGGAUUUGCUGAAGACUAACUACUGCGAAAGCAUUCGCCAAGGAUGUUUUCAUUAAUCAGGGAACGAAAGUUAGGGGAUCGAAGACGAUCAGAUACCGUCGUAGUCUUAACCAUAAACUAUGCCGACUAGGGAUCGGGGCGGUGUUUCUAUGAUGACCCGCUCGGCACCUUACGAGAAAUCAAAGUUUUUGGGUUCUGGGGGGGAAUUAUGGUCGCCAAGGCUGAAACUUAAAGAAAUUGACGGAAGGGCACCACAAGGCGUGGAGCCUGCGGCUUAUUUUGACUCAACACGGGGGAAACUCCCCCAGGUCCAGACAAAAUAAGGGAUUGACAGAAUUGAAAACCCCUUUCUUGAACCUUUUGGAAGGGGGGGGCAGGGCCCUUCCUUAAUUUGGGGGAAAAGAAUUUUUCUCGCUUUAUUUUCCAUAAACAAAACAGAACCUCCGGCCCCUUAAAUAAACCCCGGUCCGCCCGUUUUUCGGGCCCCCUUGUUCUUUUUAUGGGGGAAUAUCUCCAUCAG
rnacentral:rRNA from 1 species